UGAACCAUGACAUUGCAAAGGCGAUUAACAAUAACACAAAAGGGUGACCUAUAGGCUUUAAGCUGGAUGAUGUGAUAAUGGGAAUCUGGACUGCGAAUUUACAAAAGAAUUGUUUAGAAGUAUGAUAUGAAAAAGAACAAGUGUAUAAUGAAACAGAUGGGUAUGUAGUUGCACACUAUCAAGGACCUCGAUAAAUGUUGUGUACAUGGCAAAAGCUUCAAGUAGAUAACCAAGCUUUUUGUUGUGGGAACUAAUAGAUUCUUAAUAAUAACACGAGUGUUGUGUUG